GAGCAUGUGGUUUAAUUCGAAGCAACGCGAAGAACCUUACCAAAUCUUGACAUCCUUUGACAACUCUAGAGAUAGAGCCUUCCCCUUCGGGGGACAAAGUGACAGGUGGUGCAUGGUUGUCGUCAGCUCGUGUCGUGAGAUGUUGGGUUAAGUCCCGCAACGAGCGCAACCCUUAAGCUUAGUUGCCAUCAUUAAGUUGGGCACUUUAAGUUGACUGCCGGUGACAAACCGGAGGAAGGUGGGGAUGACGUCAAAUCAUCAUGCCCCUUAUGAUUUGGGCUACACACGUGCUACAAUGGACAAUACAAAGGGCAGCGAAACCGCGAGGUCAAGCAAAUCCCAUAAAGUUGUUCUCAGUUCGGAUUGUAGUCUGCAACUCGACUACA
rnacentral:rRNA from 1 species